GACGGAGGAGGCAAGCGUUGUCCGGAAUUAUUGGGCGUAAAGCGUCCGCAGGCGGCGAUUCAAGUCUGCUGUCAAAGGUCGGGGCUUAACCCCGGGAAGGCAGUUGAAACUGAAUAGCUAGAGUGCGGUAGGGGCAGAGGGAAUUCCCGGUGUAGCGGUGAAAUGCGUAGAGAUCGGGAAGAACACCAGUGGCGAAAGCGCUCUGCUGGGCCUGUACUGACACUGAGGGACGAAAGCUAGGGGAGCAAAAGGG
rnacentral:rRNA from 1 species